rnacentral:rRNA from 1 species
UACAGGGGGGGCAAGCGUUGUCCGGAAUUACUGGGCGUACAGCGUGCGCAGGCGGUUGUGCAAGACCGAUGUGAAAUCCCCGGGCUUAACCUGGGAAUGGCAUUGGUGACUGCACGGCUAGAGUGUGUCAGAGGGGGGUAGAAUUCCACGUGUAGCAGUGAAAUGCGUAGAGAUGUGGAGGAAUACCGAUGGCGAAGGCAGCCCCCUGGGAUAACACUGACGCUCAUGCACGAAAGCGUGGGGAGCAAACAGG